GGAGGCAUAGCUCAGCUGGUCAGAGCGCACGGUUCACAUCCGUGAGGUCGGGGGUUCGAUCCCCUCUGUCUCCACCA
rnacentral:tRNA from 2 species